AUACGUAGGGUGCAAGCGUUAAUCGGAAUUACUGGGCGUAAAGCGUGCGCAGGCGGUUUUGUAAGACAGCGGUGAAAUCCCCGGGCUCAACCUUGGAACUGCCUUUGUGACUGCAAGGCUAGAGUACGGCAGAGGGGGAUGGAAUUUCGCGUGUAGCAGUGAAAUGCGUAGCUAUGCGGAAGAACACCGAUGGCGAAGGCAAGCCCCUGGGCCUGUACUGACGCUCAUGCACGAAAGCGUGGGGAGCAAACAGGAUUAGAUACCCUGGUAGUCCGCGCCCUAAACGAUGUCAACUGGUUUUUGGGUCUUCAUUGACUCAGUAACUAAGCUAACGCGGGAAGUUGACCGCCUGGGGAGUACGGCCGCAAGGUUGAAACUCAAAUGAAUUGACGGGG
rnacentral:rRNA from 1 species